rnacentral:tRNA from 1 species
GUCCAGGGAUGGGAAACGAACCCAGUGUUUUGCUUACCCGGCAGAUGCCAUGUCCACUAGGCUACCCUGGA